rnacentral:tRNA from 1 species
UCUGUAGCUCAGUUGGUAGAGCAGGGGACUGAAAAUCCCCGUGUCGAUGGUUCGAUUCCGUCCGUC